AAAGUUAAGUAGUUUAAGUUGUGUGCAAGUGGUAGGAGAGCGUUCUAUUUGCGUCGAAGGUAUACCGGUAAGGAGUGCUGGAGCGAAUAGAAGUGAGCAUGCAGGCAUGAGUAGCGAUAAUUAAUGUGAGAAUCAUUAACGCCGUAAACCCAAGGUUUCCUACGCGAUGCUCGUCAUCGUAGGGUUAGUCGGGUCCUAAGUCGAGUCCGAAAGGGGUAGACGAUGGCAAAUUGGUUAAUAUUCCAAUACCAACAUUAGUGUGCGAUGGAAGGACGCUUAGGGCUAAGGGGGCUAGCGGAUGGAAGUGCUAGUCUAAGGUCGUAGGAGGUUAUACAGGCAAAUCCGUAUAACAAUACUCCGAGAACUGAAAGGCUUUUUGAAGUCUUCGGAUGGAUAGAAGAACCCCUGAUGCCGUCGAGCCAAGAAAAGUUUCUAAGUUUAGCUAAUGUUGCCCGUACCGUAAACCGACACAGGUGGGUGGGAUGAGUAUUCUAAGGCGCGUGGAAGAACUCUCUUUAAGGAACUCUGCAAAAUAGCACCGUAUCUUCGGUAUAAGGUGUGGUUAGCUUUGUAUUAGGAUUUACUCCGAAAGCAAGGAAACUUACAACAAAGAGUCCCUCCCGACUGUUUACCAAAAACACAGCACUCUGCUAACUCGUAAGAGGAUGUAUAGGGUGUGACGCCUGCCCGGUGCUCGAAGGUUAAUUGAUGGGGUUAGCAUUAGCGA
rnacentral:rRNA from 1 species